rnacentral:lncRNA from 1 species
CAAAAAAAAACCUCACUGUUAGAAGGGGUAUCCACAGAUCUAAGGAUAGUACAGAUAGCAACGUGAUUGACAUAAAAAAGAACAGUUACUGUGAUGAGUACAGUUCUCUUAGUAAUGGAAGCAGUGGCUGGGGAUCUCCUGUAAGCAGGGAAGUUGACUCUUUGGCCGCUGCUAAUUCUGUUGCCAGACAAAUUUGCCCAAACAUAUUUGCUCAUCCCGCCCGCCUCUGUGAUCCCCCGCAGCACCGGCUGGAAGUCCGCCACGCAUCAGUGAGGAGCUGCUGCAGAAGAAAGAAGAAGCAGCGGCGUGGGGACCUGGGCGGCAGGAGCGAGCAAGGAGAGGAUGCGGAAGCGUGCAGAUGCGGGGGGGAAGGAGAGAGGCUCCCUGGGCAAAGCACCUGUCCCGUUAGCGGGGCCGCAGUCACAUUUGAGUUGAGCGUUGCCGGCGCCUUUGGCGACCCGGCCGGCUUUGUGCUGGGCGACCUCCCUGUAAGCAGGGCUCGGGUCUUUGCUGUAGUUGGCCUUUUGCCUUGCUGCUCCUAGGGCUGCCUGGGGAGCGUGGCCCCCUGUAACGGAGG